rnacentral:tRNA from 1 species
GCUCCCGAUAGCCAAGUGGGCAACGCGUUCGACUUCUAUGAAAGCGGUCCCGGGUUCGAAUCCCGGUGGGAGCC